rnacentral:piRNA from 1 species
CCCUAGAGAAAAGCACCUACGUUGGACA